rnacentral:rRNA from 1 species
AGCGGCGGACGGGUGAGUAACACGUGGGUAACCUGCCUGUAAGACUGGGAUAACUCCGGGAAACCGGGGCUAAUACCGGAUGCUUGUUUGAACCGCAUGGUUCAAACAUAAAAGGUGGCUUCGGCUACCACUUACAGAUGGACCCGCGGCGCAUUAGCUAGUUGGUGAGGUAAUGGCUCACCAAGGCAACGAUGCGUAGCCGACCUGAGAG